GGUCUCCUCGCGAGGGCCUGGGCCGCUCUGGGCGCUCGGCCCGCGUGUCGGGGGCUCCCCGGGGCGCCCUGGGCUCCUGCUGCUGUUUCUUCCUGGCCGGCCUUGAGAAACCAUUUCCGCCGCUGACGUGCGUCUACGCCCAUCAUUUCAGCUGACACGUUGCUGUAACGUCUCCUCCGUUUCAUGCUCUUUCGAACCCUGUCAGCUGCGGGAAGGAACUUCUAAACUAAAAGCUGGCAAGACUCAGCAGAAAAAAAAUAUCGAAAGCUGCUUCUGCUGCCCCAGCUUCACUCAGGCCCUGGCUGCUCCUUCACUGGUCUACACUGCUGCCUCCUGGAACCACCCACUCUGCAACCAGGUCUGAUGCCCGGUGUGGACAUUCAGGGAUGAGGUCCCCUGGGGCUAAAUGAAUGAACAGAUUCUGAAAAGCAGAAGCUACGUCCGGGGGUCUCUGGGCCACAAAUCACUUUCUGACCUGCAGCCGUGAGGCGUGAGGCUCACUCGGAAGCUCCCGGAACCUGGAGACUGCCCUCACUCAACACUUGAACAAGCAAGGGGCCAGGUUCAAUGAAACACCUGCCCGCCCGGCACACCAGGCUCAAAAGCAAGCAAGCAAGCAAACAAACAAACAAAAUCAAAUCAGGCCUUCACAACUCCCCAAAUCAUGUGUGAGUUUCUACAGAGCAGAAGCCAAAAAUAUAUGUUAUCUAACUAGGUCCUAUUUACAUAUAUUUUUAUGGCUGCUCUAAAAAAUUAUCACAAACAUAGCGGCUUCACCCCGUUUCCCCUGUUGUGAUUAUUACACAUUGGAUGCCUGUAUCAAAAUAUCUCAUGGACCCCAUAAAUAGCAACACCCUGUAUGUACUCAUGACAAUUUUUUAAAAAAGAACACUUACACUUUCCAUUUCUGCAGGUUAGACGUCUGAAAUGGUCUCCCUGGGCUAACAUCAGGUCUUGGGAGGGCUGGUUCCUUCUAGAGGCUCCAGGGGAGAACCCCUCGGCCCUCAGUCCCAUCCUCCGUCUUCAGAGCCAGUGGUGUCUCGUCACUGAGACCUGCUCUGCCCUCCGCCUCUAUGUUGAAGGGCCCGAGAUUCUACUGGGUCCCCCCGGAUAAUCCAGGGUCACCCCUCCGUGUCAGGCGGCUGACUGGCAGCCUCAUGUGUCCACAGUUUCCGUGCACCGGGAGGUGGGCAUGUUUAGGGGCCCCCAUUCUGCCUCCCAUGAGUCUGCAGGGCCUGACUUUGUAAUUUGGGAUCAUUCUUAGGGUACCCAGAUACAACAAACAAAAACGCAGCAAACAAAAACACAGGGUGCCCAGCUCAACAGGAAGUUUGGAGAAGCAGUGACUGAUUUUUUAGUGUAAGUCUGUCCCAAAUAUUGUAGAAUCCAUCCAAACGCUGCCGGACACCCUGUGUCUCAGCCGCAGGAUGGCCACGCUGCACACUUAGUGCGGGCCCGGAGCUGCCGGUGCAGAAGGGGGUUUCUGAGUUGGAGGGAUGCAGGUGCGGUUCCCCCCCAGCUUCCUUGGGAUGCCCAGUGUGGACAUACAGGGAUGAGGUCCCCUGGGGCUAAACGAAUGAACAGUUUUUGAAAAGCAGAAGCUACGUCCAGGGGGUUUCUGGGCCUCAAAUUGCGCAGACUUGCGGUGCUGGGGAGACGUUUUGCCUGCAGGCAGCAGGCUCUGAAUUGCCCUUUAGCUCCCGACCUGGGGUACAGCGAGAAGGAGGAGACGGAGGCAGACCGGCACGGGGUGGUCAGGGACAGCGGUGCUGACACACGGCUGCUCAAAGAUGACUUGGAACUCGAGGCCCAGCUCGUUAUUCUGGGGGUGACUGGCUCCCAGUGUCUGGACGGGUCUGAGCCCCACCACAGCUGGCCUGGACUGGACUGGAAACCGUGCCCAUUAACGACCCCUGGGCCACCCAGAGCCCCCAGCUCCGGAGACCCCGGGGUCUGGUUUGUGGCUGUUUGUCGCCCACGGGCCCCUCCACCAGCUCCUUUCGGUAAAGAGUAUGGCCUCCUAGAUACCGACCUCAUGCCAUACGGAUGCAGUCAGGCUCUGGCGGUCAGGAAGGUGGCUCCGGAGCUCGGCUCUGCACCGCAUCCUCUGCCCCCUGUUUCCCGAGAUUGCUCCUGGACACACCUUUCUCUCCCGCCCUGUGGGGUACACAGCACCCAUGACAGCUUCUGUGGGACAAGAAACGGUGCGGGGCGAGGAGGGCGGGAGGCGGAGGAAGCAGAUCUGGGUCUGGGUUCUGUUUGUGGAGUGGAAAUGUAAGAACCAGGCGAGCUGACCGGGUGGCUGGGCCGUGUGGACCCAGAUCAGCACUGUGCCAUGGUGCUCUCGAGAGCCAAAGAGCCAGCCCACCUUGCAGGGCUGGGCCCGUCUGUUCCAGAAACCACAUCUGCAGCCAUACGGCAGCAGCUGCCUGUUGACGGCAGCGUUGGAUCCUCUGACCACAGCUGAAGCUUUGACCAACAAAAGUCCCAGGGAGCUGCUCAGGGCGGGAUCAGAAAAGAGGGUGCUUAGCAAGCCACACGCCACACACCCUCCCUGGGAGGCCCUGACAGCGCUUCUCUCCCUCCCAUUUUCGCUCUGGCAGCCAUCGUGGCGCAGACCGUGGAGCAGGGGCAGCUCUUACCCCUGGGUCUGGCAUCAGGAGCGUGUCCCACCGGCUCUGUUGCCGCAGCCUCAAAGCCCCACGUGGGGCAGCAGCCGGAUCGGCACUGGGGGAGCCGGAAUCCAUCAACCUCGGCCUCAGAUCAGCAUCCGCCCAGCCCUCCUGCCCCACAUCCGAGCCAUUUCAAGGGCUGCAGGGACAUUGGGAUGAUGGGGAAGUGGGCCGAGGACAGCCCCAGGGAAGGCUUUGUCUGAACUCCUCAAAUCACCGGGCGCUGACAUUUGGGAUUUUUGCCUUCCUGGCGCACCCCCACCCCACAUGCACACUCACGUGCAUGGCGUCGGCAGGAUGUGGGUGCUGCAGAGGUGCCCCCACUUCUGUGUCUCCCACGCAGCCCCGGGAACCUGGGCCCCACAGGAGCCAGGAGCUGCAGCACAGGACCAAGAAGCUUGACCUUUUCUCCCCAACUGCUAAAUCGCCAGUCCUUUGGAGCAACAGUGUCCUCUACAUAAAGGAGCAGUUAGACUAAUUUAAAACAGUAUUGACCUUUCCUUCCUGCCCUUUUCAUUUUGACUAAAUUACAGGGUGCGGCUCUGCAAUUCGCCUUCCGGUCUGUGAGUGACUCCGAGUCAGCACCCACCUUGCCUUGCUGCUUAAUCAAGGAGAGUGCUGCUGCUGGUGAUGCAGGGCAGGGCACCAACGCCCUGGGGCGAUGCAGGGCAGGGCACCAUCCACCAACGCCCCGACCCAGCGUCUCUCGUGGGGUCAAGGUUACAAGGAAGGCGGGCCAGGGGCGAGGCCUGCCUCUGUCCACAGGCAGACACGGAUGCCGAGGCUGGAAGGACCUUCCUGGCCCUCUCCUAACGGAGGCCCCGAGAGGGGAGGAGGCUGCAGGGAUCAUCCAGCCCCUCAGGGCAGCACUCAGACCAGCCUCAGGGCCAUCAGCCAGGACGGCCGGUAUCCUUGACUCUUGCUUCAGGUCCCAACACUCUAUUUCAAGGGGAUGCUGGGCCCUCCCCAAUAACUCCCCACCGUGUCCCAGGAGAGCCUCCAGCUGGCCAAGAAGCCUCACCUGGCUCACAGCUUUGCUGCCCUUAAACUGAGGUCACAACAGGCCCUGGUGUCAGUGCAGCCUUGGCUCCCAAGGGUGACACAUCCGCGC
rnacentral:lncRNA from 1 species